rnacentral:rRNA from 1 species
GACGAACGCUGGCGGCGUGCUUAACACAUGCAAGUCGAACGGAAAGGCCCUUCGGGGUACUCGAGUGGCGAACGGGUGAGUAACACGUGGGUGAUCUGCCCUGCACUUUGGGAUAAGCCUGGGAAACUGGGUCUAAUACCGAGUAGGACCACGGCCUUCAUGGGUUGUGGUGGAAAGCUUUUGCGGUGGGGGAUGGGCCCGCGGCCUAUCAGCUUGUUGGUGGGGUAAUGGCCUACCAAGGCGACGACGGGUAGCCGGCCUGAGAGGGUGACCUGCCACGCUGGGACUGAGAUACGGCACAGACUCCUACGGGACGCAGCAGUGGGGAAUAUUGCACAAUGGGCGCAAGCCUGAUGCAGCGACGCCGCGUGAGGGAUGACGGCCUUCGGGUUGUAAACCUCUUUCACCAGGGACGAAGCGUAAGUGACGGUACCUGGAGAAGAAGCACCGGCCAACUACGUGCCAGCCGCCGCCGUAAGAC